UACAGAGGUCCCAAGCGUUGUUCGGAUUCACUGGGCGUAAAGGGUGCGUAGGCGGUCGGGUAAGUCUGACGUGAAAUCUUCAAGCUCAACUUGGAAACUGCGUCGGAUACUAUUCGGCUAGAGGAAUGGAGGGGAGACUGGAAUACUUGGUGUAGCAGUGAAAUGCGUAGAUAUCAAGUGGAACACCAGUGGCGAAGGCGGCUAUCUGGACGGUUUCUGACACUAAGACUCGAAAGCGUGGGGAGCAAACAGG
rnacentral:rRNA from 1 species